AUUUUUAAUUGGAGUUCAAUUUGCCAACAUAUAGCAUAACACCCAGUGCUCAUCCCAUCAAGUGGAAUAGAGGCCAUUUAGAUGAGGCCUGUGGCUUUAAGUUUGCUAUAGUUCCCCCCCGCCAACCUGAUUGUCCCCUGACCAAGGGUCAGGAGUCACUGUGGCCAAUGGUCAGGGGUCACUGAAUCACAGUGCUUGCAGUUUUAAAAUUUUUUCCCCUCAAUACUGAGUAAUGCCUCUAAAUGCAUGUCUUUACUUAAAAUGACAAAAAGAAAGCCAUCUGAAUGUGCAGAUGGGAAAUUUAUUUUUUUCAGGGGAGAAUAAAAUGGUACAUAUUGAGCAUGAACUAAUUGCCAGUCUCUGAGCUAACAGCUUUCCAGGCAUAGCCAGCCCCUCCCCAUUUUACAGAUGAAGAAGUGGAGGCUUGAAUGUCUCCAGAAACACCUCAAGCUUCUUAAGGGAAACAUGGCCCUGCUCUGGUGCUCGAACCUCUGCUCUUUCCACCAAGCCCCAGGGCUUCCUUGACCUUGAGCGUCUUCCUGAGUGCCUGACUUUCACAGUCUGGGUGUGGCUCCUCUCAAAGUUGCAAAACUGCUUUAAGGCACCUGCCAAAGAGAAAGCCAGAAGCCACAGAAGUACCCCCUUCUCAAAGCCAGUCCCUGGGAUGCUGCCUCAAAAAUGCCUUCUUCAGUGGGAACAGAAUUCUUUGUGGUGUCUGCACACUAGAUUCCUCCUGCUGCCUCCUUCCCUUGCUCGUAUUUUGACAUCGGGUCCUGAGCAUCCAGCCUUCUCUUCCCGCGCCCCCCCAUCAUUCAGUGCCAGCUCUUUGCCAGAGCUGAUGAGUUAGAUGUGAGCCUCUGGUUCUGGCCCGAAGGUCCUGGGGGCUGGUGUGCCACACUGGCAUAAUGCUGAAGUGACAGCAGUGACCCCAACGCCCAGACUGCCCUGGAAAUAGGAGGGGGGCAGGGGAAAGGUCAGGAGUGUGGGUUUGCUCUCUGCCGUUCCUGCAGGAUGGAAAGCCCUACACAAGCCAAAGACGGAGACUGGAGGGGACAGCUGCAAGUGGAGACAGUGGCCUCAUGCUCACUUGGGAUUCCUGUCCUGGCAGCAGAACUGUGUGCUCUGUGAGCCACCCACCAACAC
rnacentral:lncRNA from 1 species